CUAAAAAGAAAUGUGUCCUCAAGGACUGUUUUUUUUUUUUUUUCCCCCUAGAACUAAAUGAAGAAAUGAAAUCUUGUCUCAUUUCAGGGUGAGGAGGACUACACCAUGUUUUUAGCUGCAACAGGGACCUGCGGUUGGCCAGGGUGUCGGGGUGGGGGGCAGUGAGUGAAGCCUCAGUGCACCUGCUCCCGCAAGGUUAAGGGGGCAGCGGAUGGAGGUCCAAGUUCUCCAAGCACAGCCUCUGACCCAAGGAACCCCGCCCAGCACUAUGGUCGCCACCUACCCUGAAUAUCGGAGGCUUGGGUUGAGGAGAGUGGGUCCCCUCCUGUCCAACCCUGUGGACCCGAGUAUUCAUUCUAGGACAGCCACUCGCCGCCCCAGCUCUGAGGGUGAGCACCUGGCUUGGGCUUCAGGUUAAGGCAGUCUGAACUCCUGCCGGACCCUAAGACCUUUGCUCCCCUGAGUGCUAGGAUGUGGGUUGGCCUUUCUGUUCCCUUGGGGGCUGGGGCACAACAGCUCAACCCUUCCGUGGGUGGGAGUGGGUGACAGUGAGCCUUCCCCUCCCUGUCCCUCAUGCCACUGCCCGGGACAGUGGGAGGAACGGUUACCUCCUAGGGCUACUGUGUGUCUCUCUUUGUCUCAAAGAGCCUUGAGAGACAGCAGGAGAGAGAUUUAAUUGCAGCCUGCCUGAGAACCUCAGAGGCACUGACCUUCCUGGCCACACCCCAAGCUUGGCACGCUUUAAUUAAGAACAGAGUGCUGAUUGGAGGAGCCCCUUCAGCCUGAACCUUUAUCCAUUGGGGCAGCACAGCAUGGAGACUGAGAUCAGACCCUGAGCCUAUGAAUUCCUGACUGUGUGACCUUGGGAAAGUCAUUCAACCUCUCUGAGCAUGGUUCCUCACCUGAGCAGCAGCUUCUUGAAAAUGCCUGAGAGAGCACAGUGCCAGUGCCUGCGUCUUUCUGCUCCUCUGCCUGAGGUCCCUCUCCUGUGUCAGAAGAGCCUACCAGCGUGGAGGUUUAUUGAUUCUGUACACCUGCCUCCCUCUAGCAGCCUUCUUUCAAUAAAGGAUGGGAGUUGCAGCCCCAUGCAACUGAAUUUAAACGGUAACAUAGAACACUGUUGAGAGAAACACCUCUGUAUAAGUCUCAUCUUGCCCGCAGCCUUGCCGCCUACAGUGCUGAGCAUCGCUGGUCUCCGGCCCACAGACGCUGGCCAACUGUGACGUCCCCCUGGGGGGGUUGCUCCGUGUGUGUGACCGAGCCCCGAGUCUGACACUGCUUGUGAUGGGCUCCUCCAGGGGCAGGUCGGACAAGGCUGGGACCAUUCUCAGGCCGACUGCGGCUUUUCCUCUCCACCCUUAGCAAUUCUCAACACCAACAUCUCUGCUAGAUCUCCGUCUCCUCCGUGGUUUGCGCCACCUGCUUUCUGCUGACAUACAGACUCAGGUACCAGCGGCGUCAAAUACUCCACCACGUGCUCAGCGAUCCCAGUGACAGCUGCCUGCUCCAUGCCUUUGCCUGUCCCGAGUCCUCUUGUCUGUCUGAGCCUUGUCCCCAGCCUGCCCUUCCUCGGUCAGAGACAGAGGUCAGCGAUCAAUGGACCACACAUCAGGCCUGGAGUUUGGGAUGUGUUUGGAGGAUACCCGAGGCCAAGGUCACAUUUGGAUUCUGUCUCAGCCCUGCUCAUCCUCUCCUGGUUCAUGGCCAAGUUGACUGUUGGCCAUUCUAGACUCACAACAGAGCAGGAAGAGAACUUCUCCUACCCAACUGAUUGGGAGACAUUCCUAGAAAUGAGUCUGGGUCUUGUACCGAUCCUUGAACCAGCUACUGACCAGGAGAGCAGAAGGAGCUGAGGUUUAGCUGCACCUGGACCACUGGCUGUGCAGGAGUGAGCAGUGAGCAAGAUAAGAUGGCCCUGCCCAUAGGGAGCCAACAGCGUGGACCGGCAACCAAGUGAACAAGAAGACUUCUGGAAGAGCUGUUCACUAUGAGGAGGCAAGAUUGCCAGUGACAUCGGGUGUCAAGGGGACAAGGAGGGCCUGCUGUGGCAGAAAUGUCACAGUUUAAGGAGGAAUCCCCAGCUCAUCUUGCUCCUGUGGAAGAUACUCAGCUCAGUCACCCGGAAUGGAGAUGGUGCCAGCCCAUUACAUAGACGGGGCCACUGAGGCUCUGGGAGUUACCCAGCUCCCCUGAGAUCACACUUGCUGAGCGGCAGAGUUGGGACUGGAGUCCAGGUGGGCAUGACUUCCCAGCCUGACUCCCCUACCCCUGUAUCAGCUGCCUCUGCGUAGGACUCCAUAAACCCUUUGGGAUACAGGCCCUCUGAGGUUCUGGCAUCUGAGAGUCUCUCGUUCUGUUUUCUUCUGGAAGUCUCUGUUGACUUGUCUUCCCUGUUGAUGACCUCUUUGGUGGGAGAGAGCUCCUAAACUUUUUUUUUAAUGGAAAAAUGAUACACAUAUAGGAAAGGGCCCACAUUUUAAGUAUACAGCUCAGAGACUUUGGACAUAGGCAGACUGCUGUAUAUGCCUCUGUCAAGAUGGACAAAACAAUUUGAAAUUAUACUCCUUGUGUUUAUUACUUUUCAACAGUGUCUGUCUCCCUGUUAAUGGCCAAGCUAGCUCUCUGUCUCCACAAUGCCCCCAUCACCGUGGGGGCACAUAGUAAGUUCUGUUUGAGCAAAGAUGUGAGAGGCUACCUUGGGGAUAGGGCCAGUUUCCCAGCCCCCACUGGGCUGUCCAGGGCAGGGGAUGGCCAGGGCCCGUGGUUGCAGGUGGGGCAGCUACAGGAUCCCUUAUUCCUUCAAUAGCUUCAACUGAAAACACUGUUUUCCUCUGUCUGGACUUCAGGCCUGGGUGGCAUCACUUAGGACUGAAAAAAUAUCAGUUAUCCUCAAAUCUGUUAAGUUCAGAGCCAUCUUGGUGCAUAUCUUUGUGAUAAAGGGCUGGGUGAGGUCUUAAACCCAAUUCCAAAAGCAUAGGCUGCAAGAUUUUUAAAAAUGAGUGACUAUAUUAGCAUCCGCAUUAAGGAUUUCUGUUCAUUGAAAGACACUAAAGAAAGUUCAGAGACAGGAAGUAGACCGGAAGAAGAUAUCUGUGAUGUCUGAAACUGACAAGAGACAUGAAUCUAGUCUGGUCUGUGCACGGCUGGACUGUAUAGUAUCUCCAAGGGAAAGCUCUGCAAAUCAACAAGAACAAAAGAGGAAAAUAGCCAAAGGCUAUGACCCAGAAUUACAGGAAAUUCAGACACAAGCAGGCUCAUACCACCACGCAGAGAAAUGUAGGUUAAAACGGAAGAGGUCACCUUCACCUGCGAAACGCAAAAAUGGGAAUGCUGGGUGCUGCUGAGUGUGGUGGGGCUGUGGGCUCCCGGGAACUCGGGUGGGAAGGCGAGUAUGUGCCGCCUCGGGGGAAGGAGAUCUCACAGUACCUGGUCAAGUGGAAUAUGCAUCCAGGACUUGAACCCGCAAGCCGACCCUGGUACACAUCUCAGAGAGACCUCACACCAUGCCGAUGGGGCACAUGCGCACAUAGGCAGUAGACAGGGGCACGGGGGGUGGGGGGUGGGGAGUCACAACAGAUGAGCAUGGAACAAUCUUAAAAAUAGUGCUGAGUGGGGAAAAAGACAGCAUGAGAUCUAAACAUAGUACUAUUUCUGUAAAUUAAAAAUACACACGAAAGAGCAAUGCUCAUUUUGAAAGCACAUGUACACAGUCCAUUGAACACAGGCUGGUCACCUUUAGGUAGUGAAGCAGGAAAAGCGGAAAGGGAAUCAUGAUCCAUAACCCGAAAGAGAACGAAAGAGAGGAGCCUUUUAGGGCCUGACAAUACUAAUUAGCUAUAAAUCAAGGACUGUCAUUAAUACAACCCUCUACACCUGAAGUCCAACUACUUUAAAACAAAACAAAACACGAAAAUACCAAAAAAUGACCAAUCACAAAAAAAAUUGCAGCAAAAUAUUUAGAGAACAUAACAAAGUUAUUCUCAAAUUUAUCUACAAGAUCAAAUUGUUUAAAUAGUGAAGCCUAUUUUCAAAAGGCUGAGAAAAGAGGGCCCACCCGCCCUAACGGAUUCAAGUGCACCUUGCAAAGCUACGGUCAUUAAGAGACAGAGAUAGGCACAGGCACAGAACAUGAGUCUAAAAAUCCUCCCAGGCCUGGCACAGGCAGGUGUCAGAUGUCCCUGUUUAACAUAGCUGCCCUUCUGUGUGCUCAGCAACCUCGGCCCUACGUUCAUGCAGGCAGUGUAGCUUGAGUGAUGACUGCCCAACCAGCCCUGGGCUUGGUGCUUGCACGCAGUGGUCCCAGAGCUCCCAGCACGGGGGACAAAAUAAUUGUAUGGCCACUUUCAAAUGGUGAUGAUGAGCCAUGAUGAAAAAAUGGGGUGGGCAUGCCACACAGGAAGGGGGUGGUAGGGUGAGGUGCCUGGGAAGGCUUCUUGGAAGAAGCGGUUCUUGCUGGGGAUCUGUAGGUGACCUGUAUACACCAGGCAAGGUGUACAUUGUGAUGGUGGUGGUGUUCUAGGGAGGGGAGGUAUAUGUGUGUAUAGUCUUGCCUGGGAGCAGAAGGGUGGGAUGAAUAUGGGGAGGUGGAAGGGGACCCAACCUUAGGGAGGAGUCUGAAGAGCCCUGAAGGCUUUAAUACCCAUGUCCUCAUUUAACCCCAUCACUCUUCUGUCGGGUGGUCUUUCUUUCCCACUGAUAGGGUCUGAGAGCCGAAGGGCCUCACUUCAGAUGAGCAACCAAGGCCCUGAAAGAUCGGAUGGUCAGGGGGUGAGGGAGGAGAGCUUUUAGGUGCUGGGCUUGGUCUCCCGGGAUCUGCUGGCUUCUGGGUAAUCCCUGCCCUUAGCCUGGCCUCCCCUUGCCCCAUGAAGCCUGGGGCCUCAAGUUUAAGCAAAGCUGUUCGGGUGUUUAAAUACUCUCAUUGAUUAUUGUAAGUGGGCUUAUGAGCCUUAUCGGCUUAGAUUUGUAUCUGCAGGAGAGCUGUUCAUCUUAAAUAAAUAUGUUUUUAAUAAUCUCUGAGUAUUUAUGGAGCAUAAAGCUGUCAGGCCAACGGAGACAGAGAUUCCUGAAGUCUUGCUGGGUGCUGCUCUGUGCCGAGUCAUUGUUAAAGACGCUCCCAGCAGGACAGCUCGCUUCUGGCUGCCGGGAGCAAACAGUAGACUUGGGUGAUUAGCAUCUUCAAGUAUUUUUAAUAAGGCAGGGUUGGUUAUUUAACCUACAAUAACCACUUAAUAAACAUAGUAAAUUACUUGCAGGUUUGGAAAUACUCUCUGCUCCUCCAGACUCCUGCCGGGACCACCUGUGUCACCGAGGUUUUGGCAGGAAGUCCCAGGAAAGAUGUUCUGUCCAAGCCCCUGCUGCAGAGGUUGUCAGAUUGGCCCAGGUGUCUGAAUUUGGGGGCACAGGUCAGAGCAGGGGCCAGCUACAGGUCUCUUGCCCUAUUUUGUGCCUCAGGCUGGGCAGGUAUACCCCUCCCAAGGCCAGUAGGAAAGCUAGGAGAUAGUCAAGGGGAUGGGCAGUUAGUCUGGGGCUCAGGUUGGCCUGAGAGCCUCCUACUCCCACCUCCCUGGGCCAAGGCCUCUGAGCUGAGGCUCCUGCCCUAUAAGCCUGUGUCCUUCUACCCCCCCUCUCCAUGAUAAACUGCCUACCCAGCGCUCACCCUAUCAUUCAUGCUUGGUCCCCUCAUCAUAGCGGACUCACUGAUUUCAAAGAACGCCCACACAACAUUUCUAAUCCGUAUGAGGCUGCUGCUGCUCAUACCUCCCUCUGUCAUCUGCCAUCACAACCCAGCAUUUAUUGGGCAUAUUUCCUAUGUGCCUGGUGCCCUCUUAAGCACUUGACCCGUAUUUACUCAUUUUACCCUCCCAUCAGGCAAUGUGAGAAGAACAAUUAUUACCCCCUUUUACAGAUGAGAAAACAGAAGCUCAGUCUCUUGCCCAAUUGGUGUUUGCAAG